AUCAGCGCUCUUCUCAUCCUAAUCCAAAACAUAGCACCCUACCAGCUACUAGGAGGAAAAUUAACUCUGUCCUAACUGAAACCAGGACAUCUAGGCAUUGCUGUCUUUGAGUUUCAGAACAUGAACAGUGAAGGAGAGGAGUGACAUAAGCAAACAGUUGACUUAUGUGUUGUACAGGACUAUGUCUUUGAAAAAGAGAUGCCUCAAAGCUGCAGUGUUUCCUGGCUGCCUGCCCCAUACUGCUGUGGGAUGCCUGUGGGGGAAAACUGAGCCACAUCCAUGUCAUGAACUGGGAGGACCGUGAGUGCCAGAGCUGCUCCAAGACUGAGUGAUCACUUUGGGAGGUUGGUUUCAGACGAACAUGCCGACUUGAGCAUGCAGUGUUGCAGAACAUUAGGGAAAUCCAACAUUAUUUUGGAGCAGAAGGAUGGACUGUAGGUGACAUAAUGAUGAAGGGGCUC
rnacentral:lncRNA from 1 species